AUUCUGGAGAGUUUGAUCCUGGCUCAGAGUGAACGCUGGCGGCGUGGAUUAGGCAUGCAAGUCGAGCGAUCCUUGCUGGACUUUUAUUGGAGUGCUUGCACAAAGAUAAAAGACUGGCGCUGGAUAGCGGCAAACGGGUGAGGAACACGUGAGUAAUUUGCCUCUAAGUCAAGCAUAGCUUCGUGAAAACGGAGGUAAUUCUUGAUAGUAUCUUUUUAUCGCAUGAUUUUAAGAUUAAAGGCGGGGACCUUUUAGGCCCGCCGUUUAGAGAUGAGCUCGCGUCCUAUCAGCUUGUUGGUGGGGUAAUGGCCUACCAAGGCAAUUGACGGGUAGCUGGUCUGAGAGGAUGGUCAGCCACACUGGGACUGAGACACUGCCCAGACUCCUACGGGAGGCUGCAGUCGAGAAUAUUUAGCAAUGGGCGAAAGCCUGACUAUGCGACGCCGCGUGAGGGAUGAAGGUUUUCGGAUCGUAAACCUCUUUUGUUAGGAAAGAACAUUUUAGACCUAAUACGUCUAAAACUGACGGUACCUAACGAAUAAGCCACGGCCAACUCCGUGCCAGCAGCCGCGGUAAUACGGAGGUGGCAAGCGUUACUCGGAAUUAUUGGGUGUAAAGGGCAGGUAGGCGGUUUAAUAAGUGAGGGGUGAAAGCUCCCGACUCAAUCGGGAAAUUGCCUUUCAAACUAUUAGACUUGAGGACGGUAGAGGAAAAUGGAAUUCUCAGUGUAAGGGUGAAAUCUGUGGAUAUUGAGAAGAACAUCAACGGCGAAGGCAAUUUUCUAGGCCGUCUCUGACGCUAAACUGCGAAAGCUAGGGGAGCAAACAGAAUUAGAUACUCUGGUAGUCCUAGCCGUAAACGAUGAGCACUAGGUGUUGGUCCUUCACGGGGUCAGUGCCGCAGCUAACGCAUUAAGUGCUCCACCUGGGGACUACGGUCGCAAGGCUAAGACUCAAAGGAAUUGACGGGGACCCGCACAAGCAGCGGAGCGUGUGGUUUAAUUCGAGGCUACACGAAGAACCUUACCUGGGCUUGACAUGCUAGUGGUAGCGACGCGAAAGCCGAGCGACCCUUCGGGGAGCUAGCACAGGUGCUGCAUGGUUGUCGUCAGCUCGUGCCGUGAGGUGUUAGGUUAAGUCCUGCAACGAGCGCAACCCCUGUUGUCAGUUGAUUUCUCUGGCAAGACUGCCUCGAAAACGGGGAGGAAGGUGGGGAUGACGUCAAGUCAGCAUGGCCCUUACGUCUUGGGCUACACACACGCUACAAUGGGUGGUACAAAAGGUGGCAAUAGAGCAAUCUGGAGCUAAUCCCAAAAGCCAUCCUCAGUUCGGAUUGUAGGCUGAAACUCGCCUGCAUGAAGUUGGAGUUGCUAGUAACUGCAGGUCAGCAUACUGCGGUGAAUACGUUCUCGGGCCUUGUACACACCGCCCGUCACGUCAUGAAAGUUGGCAACACCUGAAGUCGGUGAGCUAACCCCGGUUUCCGGGGAGGCAGUCGCCGAGGGUGGGGCUAGCGAUUGGGACGAAGUCGUAACAAGGUAGCCGUAGCGGAAGCUGCGGCUGGAUCACCUCCUUU
rnacentral:rRNA from 1 species